UACGAAGGGGGCUAGCGUUGCUCGGAAUCACUGGGCGUAAAGCGCACGUAGGCGGAUUGCUAAGUCAGGGGUGAAAUCCUGGAGCUCAACUCCAGAACUGCCUUUGAUACUGGCGACCUUGAGUCCGGGAGAGGUGAGUGGAACUGCGAGUGUAGAGGUGAAAUUCGUAGAUAUUCGCAAGAACACCGGUGGCGAAGGCGGCCUUCUGGACAGUGACUGACGCUGAGACGCGAAAGCGUGGGGAGCAAACAGG
rnacentral:rRNA from 1 species